UACGGAGGGAGCUAGCGUUGUUCGGAAUUACUGGGCGUAAAGCGCACGUAGGCGGUUAUUCAAGUCAGAGGUGAAAGCCCGGGGCUCAACUCCGGAACUGCCUUUGAAACUAGAUAGCUUGAAUCCAGGAGAGGUGAGUGGAACUCCGAGUGUAGAGGUGAAAUUCGUAGAUAUUCGGAAGAACACCAGUGGCGAAGGCGGCUCACUGGUCCGGUACUGACGCUGAGGUGCGAAAGCGUGGGGAGCAAACAGG
rnacentral:rRNA from 1 species